GGGCGGUGAGGAAGCGGCGCGGAGCAGAGCGCGAGGCUCUCGCAGCCCCGGGCCGUUGACCGAGCUGCGGGAGGCAGGCUGCCAAUAGUUCAAAUGAGAGGCUUGUGGUUUCCAGCUGAAAACACUCCAUGUUUGGGGAAAAACCCAUCAUGUUUAUUGGAUUUUGCAGCGAUUCAGGGCUAUAUGGCUGAAGUGACUAAUGCACUGAUGGCGAGACUUCAAAAGAAUAACAGAUCAAAGGCUUAUGUCAGUCUCAGUGAUCUGAUUUGUUACUAUUAUAAAGGGCUUCCUAACUGAAUUAUCUCUUAGUAUGAUUUCUAAUGUAGUUAUACUGUAAGAAUUAUUCAUCUACUUUUCUUAAGAAUGAGAAGCCACAUACUCAAUGUGUCCAUGAAGCUAGGAAAAUCUUGUCCCACACAGAAUUGUAAUGGGCACUGACUUAUUGGAAUACUAAUAACCCAAAAGAGACUUGGCUGCUCCAGACUGUCUAUAAAGAAAGUUGUUAUAAGAAAUAGGAGAAAUCUCAAACACACAAAUGAUUGUAACCUUUCUGGAUCAGAGACCUUAUUUUCAUUCUUGUAUCAUUUGAAUUAUAUAUGGAAACAAUAUAAAUAAAUGAAUAAAUAAUAAUUAAGAACAAUUACUUAAGAGAAGAGUGAGGGUGGCAGGAAGGCUCGUGAAUAUGUACAAUUGGACUCAGACAUUUCCCAGUUGUUGAAACUUACUAGGAAGUAUCCCCCCAUCCAACAGAUAGAGGUACAAAAGAAUUAGGGGUAUCUGGAGGAAGUAACUCAAAAGAAAAAAAAGGUAAAGUAUUGAAUAAAAUUUGACUAUUUGCAUAUUCACAAGUCUUCAAAGGAGAACUAGCCUAUAACUGUUGAGAAAAACUGCACGCGUCUAAGCCAAUGGGUCACACUAUGCAGGUGCUAGAGUUUGAAACAAAAAUGCUUCUGUAAGCAUUGGAUAAGGUAAUAGAUUUUCCUAAAUUUACUUGCAAUAGCAAAAACAAGGUUUCUGGUAGAUUUCAACUACUUAGCAAAUCUAGGGCCUGAUCUGGCAAACCCUUAUUCACACAAAUAAACCUAGAUAUAGCCCUUCUAACUUAAGUGCCAGAUUCUGAGACUUUUGCUAUACUGAGUCGCCCCUUACUUCAAGGGUCGUCCCACUCAAGUUAGUAGGACCACUUGCAGACUAAGGUUCUACUCAUUGUGAGGAAAGGGUCAGAAUAAGUCCCUAAAUAACUUUGAUUUUUCUGCUGUCUAAACAAUCCAAAAAGUAACAUUUUGCAACAUUUAGGGGACAUCUCAUGUGAUAGGACAGUAGAAAAUUAGUAGAAUAAAGAUCUGCCAUUGUCCCACUUAUCUGUGUCUAUGGUAAAUUUAGAGAAGGUAUCGCACAGCUGUUCCUACCCAAAUUUCUCUGUGGGGCAAACCUUUCCUUCUUUACAGGAAUUUGGGCACUGGCUGUAUGGUCUCUUCCUUAAUCUGUUGCUACUUCUGGCUGUGUGUUAUGUACUCUUCCACUAGGUGGUGCUACACUGUAUUUAUACAAACUGCUUUGUAGCAUGAUUAAAAGACAAGCUCCUGAGUGGGACACAGUGGUGGGACUACUGAGGAACAAGAGGAGGGCCUAGUGGGAGUAACAAGAACACACAACAGAAAGUAACA